rnacentral:rRNA from 1 species
GGGGUACUCGAGCGGCGAACGGGUGAGUAACACGUGAGCAACCUGCCCCUGGCUCUGGGAUAGCCUCCGGAAACGGGGAUUAAUACCGGACAUUCUCCUCCUUCCGCAUGGUUGGUGGUGGAAAGUUUUUUCGGCCGGGGAGGGGCUCGCGGCCUAUCAGCUUGUUGGCGGGGUAACGGCCCACCAAGGCGACGACGGGUAGCCGGCCUGAGAGGGCGACCGGCCACACUGGGACUGAGACACGGCCCAGACUCCUACGGGAGGCAGCAGUGGGGAAUAUUGCGCAAUGGGCGGAAGCCUGACGCAGCGACGCCGCGUGGGGGAUGAAGGCCUUCGGAUUGUAAACCUCUUUCACCAGGAGCGAAUCCAGACGGUACCUGGGGAAGAAGCGCCGGCUAACUACGUGCCAGCAGCCGCGGUAAU